rnacentral:rRNA from 1 species
AACGAACGCUGGCGGCAUGCCUAACACAUGCAAGUCGAACGAUGGUCUUCGGAUCAUAGUGGCGCACGGGUGCGUAACGCGUGGGAAUCUGCCCUUGGGUUCGGAAUAACAGUUGGAAACGACUGCUAAUACCGGAUGAUGUCGAUAAGACCAAAGAUUUAUCGCCCGAGGAUGAGCCCGCGUCGGAUUAGCUAGUUGGUGGGGUAAAGGCCUACCAAGGCGACGAUCCGUAGCUGGUCUGAGAGGAUGAUCAGCCACACUGGGACUGAGACACGGCCCAGACUCCUACGGGAGGCAGGAGUGGGGAAUAUUGGAAAAUGGGCGCAAGCCUGAUCCAGCAAUGCCGCGUGAGUGAUGAAGGCCUUAGGGUUGUAAAGCUCUUUUACCCGGGAAGAUAAUGACUGUACCGGGAGAAUAAGCCCCGGCUAACUCCGUG